UAAUAGGUCUGAGAGUCCAAACUGGCCUCUGUGGGUACUUGGGGCAGAGCGGACCAGGAUGGAGCUGGACCAUGGGGGAAGAAGGUAUAGGCUGCCGCCGCAGCAAACAUUGACCCCAGAUAUGCCCCGCAUGGAAGAUGAAGAUGAAAGGGACGCUGGGCUGAUCUGGAAAGAGACUGAAAGGAAGGAGAGAAGCGAGCAGAGAGGCAGGAUUCGAAGAGGCUCUGUCAGCUAUGGACAUUUUUAAUCACCAGAAACAUGACUGCAGAGAGCUCGGGCAGAAUCGGUAUUAAAUGUUUAAUGCUGUCGCUGGCAUGGUAGGCGUC